rnacentral:tRNA from 1 species
UUAGGGAGACCUGCUGCCAUCAUGACCGACCCAAAUAUUUAGGUCAGAUGCCAGUCAUCCCAAGGUCGUGCGAGGAAACAACUGGGCAAUACAGCUUUCAAACUCUUAAACGGUUCGGUUUAUGGGCUAUUAGCUCAGGUGGUUAGAGCGCACCCCUGAUAAGGGUGAGGUCCCUGGUUCGAGUCCAGGAUGGCCCACCUUAACAGGAAGAAGUGAAAAGUAUGGAAUUAACACCUCCUUGCUUAAAGCUUUUUUGAGGGGGGUAUAGCUCAGCUGGUAGAGCGCUGCCUUUGCAAGGCAGAUGUCAGCGGUUCGAGUCCGCUUACCUCCACUCGACCAGUAACACCAAAAAAAAUCUUAUUACCUUGUUUAUCUUCCUGAAUUGGUGAUAGACUAGAAAAAGUGGAAAAAAGAAUCCUGCAACUGUUAGGUGAAUUCCUUGCAGCCUGCUGGAAUUCUUUCCAGCCAGAACCUUGAAAACUGCAUAGCAACAAGUCAUAGGUAGUCAGUAGAAAGUAGACGUCAUUAAUUUGACGACUACGGAAAUUACAGACUUUGAUUUAAGU